AUUGGAGUAGGAGGCCCUUUCUCUCUAAUACCCUAUUAGUCUUUCUGACCCUAGCCCUGGCCCCUUGCCCAUAACUUUAUCACAUCCCACACAUCCCAGCUGGGCCCAGAGAUAGUGAACUAGCCUUUACUACCAGGGGAUUCAAGGCUGAUCACAGUUCCGUGUCUGGAACUUCAUCCUUCCAUCUCUCGCACAGACUUGUCCAGCUCACGACAGGAAAACGGAGCAAGAAAAUUCCCCCCAGAACUGCCUAGUCCAGUUCCUGAUACUUCAGAGGUGGGGAAAUCGAGGCCUAAGUAGGGGCAGUGAUUUGCCCAAAGUCACAGGUCCAGAUCUGAUGUCUGGGGCCCACCUAUAUCCGGGAACUGGGUCCUAGGUGGCCUGAGGUGUGAAGUCAGUCAGUCAGUCGUCAGCCCUAGAGUGGGGACAUACAUCUCAGAGGCCCAGUCCCGCCAGAUCUCUCUGGACCCCUCCAGCCCACCCCAGCGGCAGAAGAGAUCCACCCUUCCCCCAGCACUUGACCCAGCCAGGCUUUCUCCCUAGAGCCAACCAAGGCUAGGUGCAAGUCUGAAUCGGUCCUGGGAGCUUCGAGUCCCAGCUGGCCCUCCCUGCCCCGGGGCUCAGGGAGAGGGAUGUGAGCUCCACACCCCAAAUCCUUCUGCCUUCCCUCCCCACCCACACUUCUGCCUGGGGCCCAAACAUGGCAGAGAGCCAGGGAGUCAGGGAGCCAGGCCCUCACCCUCUGGCCUUGGUAACCAAGGCACAACACCCAACACUGGAGACUGUUUGUCCUGCCAACGCCACACCCAACCAACCUAGGCCCGCAGUUCAAUCAGCUGGGGGAAGAGGCUUAGCUCAGGGUGGGAUAGGGAAACAGUGGACGAUGGGCUCAAGGUCCAUGGCCUGGAGACUCUCACCCUCCUACCACACUCUCCAGGGGCAUAGAAUACCUGGCUGUGGUCUCAGUAGCUUGGGCCCCUCCUCUAGCUCCAGCUUCCAGCCCUGAAUCCCUGAUUCAGCUAAAGGGCCUGAAUGGAGGGUCCAAGUGUGAUCCAUAGCAGAAGAGCAGAGGCCGGAGAGCAGUCCCUUGGCCGGAGCUGGGAGGAGGUGGGGCAGAAGCAAAGACACAAUGGAUGAAGGUGACCCAAAGGGACUGUUCAGAUGGAAAAGAAGACCCACAGACAACAUGGGGAAACCACUCACACAGCGAGUGUGCGGAGGCUGAGCCAUGCUUGUGAACCAUGUCAUCAGCUGGCAAGGAGAAGACAGGCAAAGGUUGCUUCGGUCACGGUGUUCCAUCACAGCAAUAGAAACCCUAACAAAUCCAGGACGGAUGCUUCGUGUCACCCAGGAGUUAGGAGUGAAAACUGAGGUGACCAAGGAGCCCUUUGACGUUGGCAAAGGUUUCUUCUCAGCCUUCGUUCCAGUCACUUCCCACAUGUUCUGCAAGCCCAGACAUUCCCCAGAGGGGUUCCAGGAAGCUCUCUCUCCACAAAGCUCUCCCUGGAAGCAGCCUGGAUCCCAGCGAGGCGGGGGAAGCACUUUGUCAUGUAGACGGCUGUGGAAGAAGUGAACGGAAGCCAUCAGCAGAUUCUGCCUUGCCUGGCCCAGGGGACUGUAGAUCCUGGUUCUCAGGCCUGACACCCCAUAGACACCACCCUGAAAGCUCUAGAGCAGCCUGUGGGUCAUGACCCCCCCUUUUGGUGUGUGUGUGUGUGUGUGUCACCUAUUAGCUAUCCUGCAUUUCCAAUACAUACAUUAUGAUUCAUAACAGAAGGAAAAUUAUGAAGUAGCAAAAAAUAAUUUUGUGGUUGGAGGUCACCACAACAUGAGGUAUUAAAGGGUCACUAUGCUAGGACGGUUGAGAAUUGCUGCUCUAGGGCAUCAGGGACUUCAGUCUCUGUCUGGUGGCUCAGCCUCACUCUCCUCAACCUCAGGCUCUCUGAAGAGGCGCUCAGCCCAAGGGCCUGCGCAUCUGGAAUUAUCUUCCUUGUGUAUGGCUGGCUCCUUCCUCAUCUCACCUUAGCUGUAGAUGGGGACCUCCCUAGACUUGGAGAACACGUUAUUCUCGGAUUUGUUGAUCUUACCCAACCUUUCCAGCAGACAGAUUGCUCCAUUAGGAUAGAAAAGCGGGCUCUUACGUCACCACCCGAUUUCCAGUGUCAGGGACAGCACCCAGCACAGAGCGCAUGCUUAGCCAAUAGAAAGACAAGCUGCAUCUAACAGGCUCCUUUCCCCAGCACUCUGGUUGCGUCAUUCCAGGAUGCUGACCCAGCUUCCGGCCUUCAGGUAUUCCCCAAACACACCUGGCAGGUCUUCACCUCUGCCUGGCUCGUUGCUUCUGCCCUGGCUUUGGAACCCAGCCUCCCAGUCAGUCCCUCCCUCUGAAACUGCUCUGUGCCUCCGUGUGAGUGACUGGCUCCUUCCUCACCCUGCCAAGGUGCUGGUCCACACAUACCUUUGUCUGUCAGGGCACAGCGCUAUUGUACUCAAAUGAAAUGUCUGUCUGUCUUUUGCUCACGGCUGGCUCUCGUGAAGGGCAGGGCUGGGCUGACUCAGGACUGUAUUCUGAGCCAGCCCAGCCCAGUGUCUGCCACACAAUGAGCAGGAUGAAUGGGUGCUGACUGAAGUCUAACCUUGGGCUCUCACUGUAUCUAUUCAGUUGACAGGUCACCACCGGCAGAGCACUUAGCACAUGCAGGGUACUGAGCUAGGCGGUGGGACCAGAGAGCAUCUUUUGGCUGCAAAGGAUUGCCAGUGUAGAAGAAGAACAGACCUCCUUGAGAAAUCUAGUACAAGUGAGAAGGGUGUGAGGACUAGAUUGGUUUCUUUUUGCUGCUAAGACAAAUGAUCACCCCAGAGUCUUAAACACACACACACACACACACACACACACACACACACACACACACACACACACACACACUCACACACACACACCCUUUCAUGACUGGAAGAUAGAAGCCCACAUCCCGGUGUCAUGAUGGCUGUCUUUCUCUGGGGACCCCGGAAGAAUCUGGUCCUUGCCUUUUCCAGCUGCACCGUGCUUCUGGGAUCCUCUACCCAAGUCUCCUGAACCACUGACAUCUGCUUCUGCGUCUGCGCUGCCUGACUCUGCCUCCCAACUCCAGGACCCUCGUGAUGACGCUUGAGUCCCAUUUGCAGAGUCCUCUUUGCUUUAUGAGGCAUAGAUUCCUCAAGUCCCCAGGGUCAGAGCAGGUCUUUCCCUAGCUCCCUUCCUGGGUCCUUUGUGUCAUCCCAGCUCUCCUUGCCUGCUUCCCCUGUCAGUAAGGCUGGUGAGCCAUAGUGAGGAGGUCUGGGGAGUCGGCAGUGGACCAAUGGCUGCUAUCCUGAGCUUGGGCAGAAGCACCCGACACACCAGCCCUGGACAACGUGAGGCCAAAGAGGAAACCAGCUCGUCCACCAUCAAGGAAACUUCUCUUUGUAAUAGAGGGAGACCAUUACAGUAACCGUAAUUAAUUAAAAUGCAGAGUUGUGGGGUGCAGUCCCAAAGAACACAUCUACAACGUAACUUGCCUACCUAAGGCUCAGGGAACAUUGUGGAAGAGGGGACAGUAAAAACUGUAAGAGCCAGAGAAACACCGAGCUUGCUUGAUUGUGAUUCCUAGGAAUUCCAGAAGCUGCACCCAGAAACAUUGCUCACU